AACCUGCGCAAGGAUCAUUA
rnacentral:rRNA from 1 species